CAAUAGCGUAUAUUUAAGUUGUUGCAGUUAAAAAGCUCGUAGUUGGAUUUCGGGUGUGAACGACCGGUCCGUCUUUGAUGUGUACUGGUUGGUUGCGCCUUAUUGUCGAGGACGUGGUUCUAGCUUUCAUUAGCCGGGACACGGAGUCGGCAGCGUUACUUUGAGAAAAUUAGAGUGUUCAAAGCAGGCUAUCGCUCUGAAUACUACAGCAUGGAAUAACACGAUAGGACUCCGAGCCUAUUCUGUUGGUCUUCGGGACCGGAGUAAUGAUUAAGAGGGACAGUUGGGGGCAUUCGCAUUCCGAUGUCAGAGGUGAAAUUCUUGGAUUAUCGGAAGACGAACAUCUGCGAAAGCAUUUGCCAAGGAUGUUUUCAUUAA
rnacentral:rRNA from 1 species